rnacentral:lncRNA from 1 species
GUCGCCAUGGCAAGACCCCCGGUUUGGCCCAGACAUUCGCCCCCUGCAAGGAUUACAUCGCCCAGGAGUUGAGCAGCUGACAGCACAAGGGCAGCAACAAGGUGGGCUCAUUUCAUAGUAAAAAAGCGAGACAACUGCCAUCGGCCGCCAACUCAACGUCCGCCGGCAAUGGGAUACGUCGCCACGGCAAGACCCCCGGUUUGGCCCAGACAUUCGCCCACUGCAAGGAUUACAUCGCCCAGCAGUUGAGCAGCUGACAGCACAAGGGCAGCAACAAGGUGGGCUCGUUUCAUCUUUCAACGCGCAGCUUAGCACCAUUUACUUCACAUACGUCCGCUUCGAG